UCGGACGUGGUGCACGGUACACGCCUGCUCUCGAUCGCAAAAAAAAUUGAACCCCGUCGAAGUAGGAGAACUGGGUUCGACUCCCGGCGUCCGAA